GCAAUAGUGGUUCAGUGGUAGAAUUCUCACCUUCCAUGUGGGAUACCCGGGUUGGAUUCCUGGACAAUACA
rnacentral:tRNA from 1 species